rnacentral:rRNA from 1 species
UACGUAGGGGGGCAAGCGUUUGUCCGGAAUCAUUGGGCGUAAAGCGCGCGUAGGCGGCCCGGUAAGUCCGUUGUGAAAGUCAAAGGCUCAACCUUUGAACGCCGAUGGAUACUGCCGGGCUAGAGUCCGGAAGAGGCGAGUGGAAUUCCUGGUGUAGCGGUGGAAUGCGCAGAUAUCAGGAGGAACACCAAUAGCGAAGGCAGCUCGCUGGGACGGUACUGACGCUGAGGAGCGAAAGCGUGGGGAGCGAACAGG